rnacentral:rRNA from 1 species
GACGAACGCUGGCGGCGUGCCUAAUACAUGCAAGUCGAGCGAAGAGGAUUUGUUCUUGCACCGAUUUGGAGAGCAGCGAACGUGUGUGUAACGCGUGUGUAAUCUCCCUUUCAUCGGGGGAAAACCUUUGGAAACGGACGCUAAUACCGCAUAACAUCUUGAAACAUGAUGUUGAAUGGUGAAAGAUGCCAUUUCAUCACGCACACGUGGUUCCUCGUCGUAUUAGUGAGGUGGUGAGGUAAAAGCGCUCCAAGGGGAUGAUACAUAGCGAGACUGAGAGGGUGGUCGGCCAGCUUGGGACUGAGACCGGGCACAAAGUGAUACGGGAGGCAGCCGUAGGGAAUCUUCGGCCAUGGACGAAAGUCUGGCCGAGCAACGCCGCGUGAGUGAAGAAGGUUUUCGGAUCGUAAAACUCUGUUGGUAGAGAAGAAAGUUGGUGAGAGUGGAAAGAUCAUCAAGUGACGGUAACUACCCAGAAAGCGACGGCUAACUACGUG